GGACUAGUUUUAAGUGAAGAAGGAUGACUCCACAUUCACCAAAAGCCAUGCAAAAAUAUAAUUGCCGCCUACUUCAAUUCAGCAUGAAAAAUAACGAGUCCUUUUUAAAGAAGGCUCUUUAUUAAACAUGUUGCCUUAAAAGAUAAAUCAGAAAUCCUAUGUUUUGACGCCAAAAAUUAAUGAAAUUUUUAUGACACAU
rnacentral:lncRNA from 1 species